rnacentral:rRNA from 1 species
UAAUGGGAUCUGGUGCUUUAGUGCUGGUAUGAUCGCAUCCGAACUCCGCAGUUAAGCGCGCUUGGGCGAGAGUAGUACUAGGAUGGGUGACCCCCUGGGAAGUCCUCGUGUUGCAUCCC